GUGGGGAAUCUUCCGCAAUGGACGAAAGUCUGACGGAGCAACGCCGCGUGAGUGAUGAAGGUCUUCGGAUUGUAAAGCUCUGUUAAUCGGGACGAAAGAGCCUAGUGUGAAUAAUGCUAGGAAGUGACGGUACCGGAAUAGAAAGCCACGGCUAACUACGUGCCAGCAGCCGCGGUAAUACGUAGGUGGCAAGCGUUGUCCGGAAUUAUUGGGCGUAAAGCGCGCGCAGGCGGAUCUGUCAGUCUAUCUUAAAAGUUCGGGGCUUAACCCCGUGAUGGGAUGGAAACUACAGAUCUAGAGUAUCGGAGAGGAAAGUGGAAUUCCUAGUGUAGCGGUGAAAUGCGUAGAUAUUAGGAAGAACACCAGUGGCGAAGGCGACUUUCUGGACGAAAACUGACGCUGAGGCGCGAAAGCCAGGGGAGCGAACGGGAUUAGAUACCCCAGUAGUCC
rnacentral:rRNA from 1 species